rnacentral:rRNA from 1 species
AUGAACGCUGGCGGCGUGCCUAAUCCAUGCAAGUCGAGCGAACAGACGAGGAGCUUGCUCCUCUGACGUUAGCGGCGGACGGGUGAGUAACACGUGGAUAACCUACCUAUAAGACUGGGAUAACUUCGGGAAACCGGAGCUAAUACCGGAUAAUAUAUUGAACCGCAUGGUUCAAUAGUGAAAGACGGUUUUGCUGUCACUUAUAGAUGGAUCCGCGCCGCAUUAGCUAGUUGGUAAGGUAACGGCUUACCAAGGCAACGAUGCGUAGCCGACCUGAGAGGGUGAUCGGCCACACUGGAACUGAGACACGGUCCAGACUCCUACGGGAGGCAGCAGUAGGGAAUCUUCCGCAAUGGGCGAAAGCUUGACGGAGCAACGCCGCGUGAGUGAUGAAGGUCUUCGGAUCGUAAAACUCUGUUAUUAGGGAAGAACAAAUGUGUAAGUAACUAUGCACGUCUUGACGGUACCUAAUCAGAAAGCCACGGCUAACUACGUG